ensembl:lncRNA
UGAGGCUUGGUUGAGGCUUGGUUGAGGCUUGGUUGAGGCCCUGGGUCACUGAUUGGAGGUCGGGGGUUCAAGCCCCAGCACUGCCUCUGCUGUUUAAAUCCACUAAAAGUUUUUUUUCCCCUUGUUGUUAUUGUUGUCACGCAGAAUAUUCUAGAGCAAUGCUUAUCUCGAGGAUUUCUGGAAUAAGUUAUGAAUGAAAUGACACCGAGCUGUAAACAUCGCUUAUCCUUUAAACCAUUUACACGUUUUCUUAACCACCGAGCACACGGUAUUAACGAAAACAUCACCACCGUUUGAUCAGUUCACGAACUCAAAACGAGCACGCGUUACGAUUUCAUGCCCUCCAUUUCAUGGUUUCAUUAAGUUUCUGAACUGUGAAAAUGCUCAAUUAUAGGUUGUGCUGGAUCAAGUGCUAUUUUAAAGGCUGCUGAAUGACGAUGAUGGAAGCCAUUUUGUUAAGCAUAUUUGCAGUGAGUCACGCUGUAAUUAAGAUCAGGACUAUUCAUGCAGUAAUGUAUUAGUUAUAUAUAUAUAUUUAUAAAACGGUAAUAUGCUCAUCUUCAGUAAACGCUCGAUCAUGAUCAGGUGGUCACGCUGAAUCUGGAGCUUAUCCCGGGAACAUGUAGAUAUACGGUAAGUGAGACGUAUAAACCGUUCGACUUUGCUUAUUUCUCUUUUAAAUGAAUGGCUUUACGACUUGUAGCGAUUGUGUUCUAGAUUAGUCUAGAGACAGUUUGUUCUUGGAUGAAAACGUAAAGAAUACAGGAAGUAGACAUAUGUGUUGGCUGAUAUGGUUGUCAAAGUUCAUCCUUCAUUUGCAAGGACAGAUGCUGAAAUCGCUCCGUUCCUCCCCAAAUGGCAAUUAAAAGCUGAGAUGAAUGAAUCAGCUGUUGAAGACGCACAUGGGGUCGGACGCCGUAUGCUCGCAGUUCGAGAUUAACCCGCAUCACUAAAUCGGAGGUAAAGUGAAGUGUUUGGUGCCCUUCGUGAUUUUUUCUGACCCUGGACGCCAGGCAUGACGCUUUUCUCUACAUGCCUGACAUCAGGGAGUCACAAAUUCAACCGUUAGAUUAUAACGGUGCACGAGAAAUAUCGCACGGCUCUAUCAACAGACUCUACGAACGAUGAAAGCGUGGACAUUUUUUAUCCUCAUGCAAUUGAGUUAAUGAACGAAAGUUAAUUGACCAUCUGUCCGUUGUUUGAAGAAUGGAUGUCUGAUGGACACGCUGUGCCGAGAGAAAGGGAGAGAGGAGGAAAAAUGUGUUAUUUGGUCAUCUGAAGGCUGGAACGCUCAGACAGACUGAUGGGGUGAUGGUCACGUCAAACGAUUGGCAGGAGAGGAAACGGGACGUGUGAUUAGAUAUUUAAAGCCGGGUCAGAGAGGAUAAACGAAAACAGGAAACCAACAUUUUACAAGGACAGACCCCAAAGACCAAUCACUGAUCUCCAUUGUUCCCAAAAAAAAAAAAAAAAAAACGAAUCACAGAUCACCACUGUUUCAAACAAUCACUGUUUACGAUUGUCCCCACCAAUCGCUGAUCACCACUAAUCCCGAAGACCAAUCGCUGAUCACCACUAAUCCCGAAGACCAAUCGCUGAUCACCACUAAUCCCGAAGACCAAUCGCUGAUCACCACUAAUCCCGAAGACCAAUCGCUGAUCACCACUAAUCCCGAAGACCAAUCGCUGAUCACCACUAAUCCCGAAGA